rnacentral:sRNA from 2 species
CCUGGUGCUUUCGAACUACUACUCAACUUGACAUGAUUGCGCAAACCCAGCCUCUCCACAUGUCCAGGUCCCGGCAGCCAGCGGAGGUGCCCGCCUAAACUCGCAUUUGCGCCACCGACUGGCACUCUAGAUUGUUGCGUGGAAAACCGUUCUUGGUGGGCGGCGAAAGUUAGAACUUGUGGGGAGAGUUGUCGGCAAUCCCCAAAAAGCCCUGUCCUGAUGUGGUUUCAUCAUCAGCAAUGAGGCAGGGUCCCUUCAACUGUGGAAAUGCCGCCAUUCUUGUGAAACUUCAGACGCUACUGAGUUUCUUCAUCGUGAAUCCAAUUGACCCAGGCUUCAACCAUAUUUCUCUUGGGGAUGGUCAUAGACGCCCCAUUUAUUUAUCGUUAUAACAGUGUCAUUUAUUUCCCUUGUACUCCGGUUAUUUGGUAAGAAUUGGAGAUGGAGAUCUGUUAUGGCAUUUGAACAACGGGAUUAGUGGUAUUUCAGAGUGGCGGUGGCUAUCUGCUGAAUGCUUACGCAGCAAAAGUGACUGGUGCACGCGUACUUGCUCACCAGGCAAAUACAGCAUCGAUGAUGAGGGCAUCAACAGUGACGAUAUCAUGUCAUAUAUUCCAUGGUUUCGUCGUAACUAGUUUAUCACAACUCAGCGUGCGUGACGCUUUUCCGGCCGUUGCGUUUGAAAAUGUUCAUUGAGGCAUAUUUCAAAUCCAUAUAGGGGAAUGUAGGGGACUGGUAUUCGACUAUUUCACUCUUCUUAAACGUCCAUCCCCGUAAUGCCAACCAAGCUUCGCAAUAUCUACCCUAACCCCAUAAGCCCUCUCAGCAACGGCUACGGUAUUCAUAUCAACCUUCACAAUCCGUAUCCCAUUCUCAGGACCUCAAAACUACUCGGAAAAACACAAAAUGGAAAUGCCACUUGGCUCAACUCUAUAUAGCCUUCUUCCGACAGACUCCCAGCGUUGCAGGAUGCGAUGGCGCAGGUAUUUUCAUGAAUGUACUGUACAUUCAGUAUCUUCAUUACAUUUACGUGCUUCGAUUGGUAUUCUGUGUUCAACCAAAAGCCGGGUAUGAUUAUUAUCCGUGCCCCCUGGCAGGUCACAGCACGGAACGCUUCCGGAAAAGUCACAAGUCCCACCUGGCCUAAGGGUGUUUUGAUGACACUAUAGCGGCUGCUGCCCUGCGGUUCAUGAGUUGCUGGUCUUCUCUUAGCAAAGGUCCCGGAGGAGAUAGAGAUAUCCACGCUCCGGCAGCCGUAGUUUGACUUUUAUAUAAUCACAGCAAUUCGCCGGUGUGUGACAUAAAAGAUGCAAGUUCAAUAAGUCGCCUCCACCGAGGGAAGUCUCGAUAUCUCACGUGCCGUUUUCGGAUCAGUGAGUUUGGAUCCGUCGUGACGAGUGUGCCAGGCUGAUGCCCAAAGCUUUUGGAACCUCUUAACCCCACGCUUUUGAAGCGAGGGGAGACAAAUGCGGGACAAUCAGGUACCAGACCUGUUAGGUGGUACUCCGGCAAGACCACAAGAGAAACUCCUCGACCCUCUGCAUUUCGGAUAUGAGGUACUACUACGUUGAAAUUAUACGCUGGGUCAAGAGAUAAUAUAAGUAGGGCGAUGCUGGUAAGUGUUUGGCUGGCUCAAGAGUGAUGUUGUAAACUCGAUUAUCCAUUAUCUAGGGGUUCGCUGGAACCAAUUCGACGCUCAUGGCCAGCUUGAAUACUAAUUAUUAGAUCCACGAAAUAUGCAGCGCAAUUUAGAAGGGAGAAAAGCUGACAGUUUUAUUCAACACAAGUGGGGUUGUUGUCGGUGUUGCUAUCCAGUGGCGUUUUAUGUCGAACCCGUCGAUUCGAAGCUCACUGAAUGAAAGUUAGCUUUUCCUUUUUUUUCCCCCAUCAUUGUUCUUCCAGUAUGAUGGAUAGAUUCUUCAGUUCUGUUAUGCCACAGGGCUCACAGAUGCCUAUGAGCUCUGAAGAGUAUGGGUUGCUGAGCAACUGAUAGUCGCUGGGUGUGUUUGAGCUUAUUUGAUCAGGUUGUCAACCGUCGGAGGGCUGAAGGUAUGGUAAAGAGUAUCUUAGUGACGAUCAGUUAGUUGUAAUCAGUACAUUCAUGUAAUUUAAUGUUAAAA